AUGUCAGGAGGUGGCCAAUAAUGCUCCUGUUAAGGGUGUAGAGACAGAGGGAGAGGAGCUACACAGGUUUCUUUACCGAAAUUAUAUUGAUGGAGGCCAGUAUUAAUAGUUGUAAAAGUAAUAAUUCAAAAGUGAAGCCAAAGGAAAAAAAAAAUGUAAGAAAGAAAGAAUCUUUAUGUUGAAAAGGGCCUUGUGGCAGCCCAAUGUGAUCCCUAUGGCCCAUGUUACAUGGCUCUACGAUUUUCUUUUCUGUUUCAGCUUUAACUUUUCCUGGAAAAUACACAAGCUUUGCACAGAGAUUGAUCAAAGAGAGAAAGAGGGAGGAAGAAGAAGAAGCGGAGGAAGAUGAUAUACCGCAAGUGGAGUCUGCUCACUGGUCCCGCCGCCAUACUCGGUGGCAUCGUGGCCACUGUGGUCGUCGCCAAUUACAUCUUCAUCGAACACGUUGCACCAUAUGCGGGUUCAUGUGUCUUUUGUUCAUUGUUCCUUUGAUUGGAUUGUGUUCGAAAUCUGGCCUCUUUAGGGCGCCCACAUAACCAAUCGGAUUGGGAUCACAACAGUUCCCCGGUCCCAUUGGUUGAGACUUGAGCCAAUGCCCCUCUUUUCCUUAGGGGCGUCGUGUGGCGUUACACGACGUUGCCGGGGUUUGCUGUGUUGAAUGUAGCAAUUCGUGGACAGUGAUAUGUAGCUCGAUUGCAUUAGGCACUGGUUUAGCUGCUCGCCAAGUAGUAGCAUUGAUGCUGCAACAGGGCCGUCAUCGGCUGUUAUUCGGUCUGAAUCUUCACCCUGAAUCUUCACCAAUUUCCUCACUUCUGGCCGCAGGCAAUAACAAUGUAUCCCUCUCGUUGGAUUGGCUAAUCAGCUCGCCACUGUAAACCCCUGAUUAAGAUUUAGGACAGCCUUGCACAAGCUAGAGCACCGAAAUAAUCCUGUUCAUUAUGCCGGAGUUAGGUAUAUUUUCCUUGCCAAUGGUAUGAUAAAUAUGAGGUCGAGUCAGAUAA